UGAUCCCGCCCCCUCACACCCCUCUCCGGUGCCCGCUUCCUGCGGCGCGGCGCGGCCGCCGCUUCCUGCUCCUCCCCGCGGCGCGUCGGGCGGGCGGCUCCGCCAUGGCCGCCCUGGCGGCCCUUUCAAACGCGGCAGCCGGCGGCAGGGGGCAGGCCUGACUGGCUUUGUGCAGGAAAAGUCCUUGGAACUCUACUGCACCAGCUUCUCUGAGCAAAAGUGUCUGGGAGUUCUCCAAGGUUUCAACCCUGGGAGGAUUGGAGUAAGUUUGAUUUAUAUUUUGAAGUACAACUUAGUUGUUACAGCUGAUUAAAAACCUUCUGGAGUGAUAGAACAAUUUCCAUACAAGUCCUUACCAUUG
rnacentral:lncRNA from 1 species